GACGAACGCUGGCGGCGUGCUUAACACACGCAAGUCGAGCGGUAAGGCCCUUUCGGGGUACGACGAGCGGCGAACGGGUGAGUAACACGUGGGUGACCUGCCCUCAGCUCUGGGAGUAAGCCUGGGAAACCGGGGUCUAAUACCGGAUAUGACUCCAUGACGCAUGUUGUGGGGUGGAAAGCCUUGUGCGGCUGAGGAUGGGCCCGCGGCCUAUCAGCUUGUUGGUGGGGUGAUGGCCUACCAAGGCGACGACGGGUAGCCGGCCUGAGAGGGCGACCGGCCACACUGGGACUGAGACACGGCCCAGACUCCUACGGGAGGCAGCAGUGGGGAAUCUUGCGCAAUGGGCGAAAGCCUGACGCAGCGACGCCGCGUGAGGGA
rnacentral:rRNA from 1 species